rfam:Aedes albopictus isolate Foshan contig1059, whole genome shotgun sequence.
UGUUCUGUUGCUUAGUUAGUUAAAGCGCCGGACUAGCGUUACGGAGUCGUGGGUUCGGAUCCCACCAAAACAA